GGAGCUUUUUGGUGACAUCAAUAAAAUUGGAAUGCUGGAGGGAGGGUUGGCAUGGCUCUUGCACCAGGAUGACAUUCACAAGCUGAGAAAUGGUCCAAAAUUUC